rnacentral:snoRNA from 1 species
CUCCGUAUUUGAAGGGGACUGUGGGCUGCCCAUGCCCUGACCAUUGAUACUGCAGGGAGAGAGGGUCAAAAGCUUUCCCCGUGUUUGGAAUGUCUGCUCCAGUCCUCGCCAAACUCUUGUGAUCUGUCU